rnacentral:lncRNA from 1 species
AAAAAAUUAAGACUUUAUUGCUCAGAAGCAGCAAAGCUUUAACAACUUAGGCCUGUGUCUUCUCCUCCAUAAGUCUGAUAACGUGACUUGGUUUUCCAGUUAAACACACACAUUUAUAGAUCUUACUACAAUAAAUGCUAUUUGCAGGUGUAAAGUUUUUAUAACCAACCAUAACAAACAUGAAAAUACUUAUUACAAUUAAAAUAUUACCACAUAUUAUAAAUAUUUGAAAAAUAAAAUGCUGACCUCAAGUUAGAAAUUUAUUUAUAACUCAACUUCACUUUAUGCAAUGGAUGGAUACACCAAAAGAUACCUGUGAUCUGAAUCACAUUUGAAAUGUACAGUCUGCUUAAAUUUCUUUGAUAAAAUUAAUAUCUAUCCAUACAUGUG